UAUCCAGCUUAUCACUCUUCUGAACAGGGAGUGUUGUGUUAUCAUCUGCUGUGGUCUUAUUGUUCUCCUUCCAGGAGUACUUGGUAUAUGUGGUGCUCUCUCCCUCACAGACCAAAGUACACUGGUUAUUGUCACAGGUUUGCCUGACACUGGGUUUGGACACUGGUUC